GGAUCUGGGAAUUAUUUAUUUAUUUAUUUAUUCUUUUUCCUUUUUCGGAAGGUCUAUUACUGUUUGUUUAAUUUUGUAACAUCGUGUGAUGGAGGGGGAUCUGGAUCCAGAUCUGAAUCUGGAUGACUUUAUAUGCAACGAGGACGGCAGAAUUUCAACGCAUCAGAAACAAGUAUCCGGAUGGAAUACCGGUGAUUGUAGAAAGGGCUUGGCUGAGUAACGUAUCUGAUAUUGAUAGGAGCAAGUUGGUUUAUAUCCCAUUUAUUUUACAUCUGUUAUCUCUAAUAUAUAAAUUUAUUUCAUUAUUUUUUGACAAAUUGAUAUUUAAUGAUAUGAGGUUUCUUCUACUCUUACCAUGUCCUUGUACUAAUGAAUGCUUUAUGGUAGUGUAACAUGAGAUUGAAGCUUUUUAGAAUGAUAAUUAAAUGUAAAGUAUCAUAUCAGAUUAUAUGCUAU